rnacentral:tRNA from 1 species
AUGACUGUAGCUCAACUGGCAAAACGUCAGAAUACUAAUCUGGAGGUCUCAGAUUCAAAUCCCGUCGGUUGUC